ensembl:lncRNA
CUGUGUGUUGUUGUAAUUCUGGGUGGCCAGAUAGUCAGUAACUGUGACAAGAAACUGCCAUUUGGGGAAUCCGGAGAACUGGAAGGAAAGGCAGCCAAAGGAGGUGUUGGCUUUGGGGAUGACCAGUGAGAUAUACCUGCUGGAGAACGUGCUACAGGUGGAUGUUGUUAUCGUGACCAGUGAGCUGAGAUAAGUGACUUCAUGCAACAGGAUGAUUGAUUCUGCCUGCGGUGCUUUCUUUUGGGAGUCUGCGGGGAAAACUGGUGGCGCAUUUUAUGAAGCGUGAGGGAAAUUUCCAUCUGACCAAAAGACGACGAGACCCGACAGACCAGACCCUUACUGUGAGCUGCUCAGGAGGAUACACAUCAUCCACAAACAAUUGAGGGAUGGCAACUGAUGGCAACUUUCAGUAAAUCCAUUUAAAUGAAUCUGUAUAAAAAAAUAUGUAUGAUUUUGUUUUUAAAUCAAGGCGUUUAACGCAUAAAAAG